GGACCAGAACCCGACUCACUGCAUCUCCAUAGCAACUACUACAUGCAUCAACCAGCUGAGACCAGAUGUUUACAUACUCCCUGUCUGACAUGAAACCGGACUGAACUUCCUGGUUAAGGUCCAGUUCACCAAGCUGGUUCUGGAUCCAGAAAAGUUCUGGAUCAUCAGAACUUUUCAACCAUUUCAUGAAAGUUGACCUUUAACCUUUAGCACCAGGAUUGAGUCCAUUCUUCCUCACAGAACCACUGGAAUCGGGUCAGGACUGUAGCCGUCCUGCCUCACAGAACCUUCCAGUUCUGCCAACCAGAAAACCCAUUUGGACCCGACUGUCUAGCAACACAGCAUGAUGCUGCCACCACCACCGUGUGUUACAAUAGGGAUGGAGGUGCCAGGCUUCCUAGCGUCCAGGAGACAGGACGUGACGAAGGUUUCGUCCCUCUGGACAUCUGGAGGAACGGCUUCUUCCUCGAUGAAGCAGAGUGAGAAUUAACCUAUCAGAAGCUGACAAAGCCAUGACAUCACCAGUGGGGCGGGGUUUAGAGGUACAGCGCUCUCCUAAUGCUUAGGGAACUGAAACAGGUGUGUCUGGUCUAGGGCUGAAACAUUCAUCGAGUAACUCGAUUACAAAAAAUCCUCGAGGAAAUUUAUCUGCCUCGAAGCUUCGCUAAAUUUAUUGUAUUGUAAUAAGCAAUGCUGUUAAAUACGCAGCACACUGGUCUAGCCGGAGGGUUUUUGUGUUGCACAACGCUACCACUUCCGUUAGCGCCUGGAGCACAUGUGCUAAGUUUGUAGCUAUGGAGGGAACCGGAGAAUGCUCAGAAGGAGAACCCCGAAAGCGACAAAAAAUGUCAAAAGUUUGGGAACAUUUUAGGCUAAACAGAAAGGACAACACAGCGCAAUGCAUCCACUGCAAAGCAGAAUUGGCGUACCACAACAGCACGACAUCAAUGUUGCAGCAUCUGAAGAGAAAACACCCGCUACAUGCAUCCAACUCGUACACGGUUGCCAACAGCCCUAGUCUGAAUGUCCAGAA